rnacentral:rRNA from 4 species
GAAUGCUGACAUAAGUAACGAUAAAGCGGGUGAAAAGCCCGCUCGCCGGAAGACCAAGGGUUCCUGUCCAACGUUAAUCGGGGCAGGGUGAGUCGACCCCUAAGGCGAGGCCGAAAGGCGUAGUCGAUGGGAAACGGGUUAAUAUUCCCGUACUUGGUGUUACUGCGAAGGGGGGACGGAGAAGGCUAUGUUGGCCGGGCGACGGUUGUCCCGGUUUAAGCGUGUAGGUGUGUGUUCCAGGUAAAUCCGGUUCACUUUAACACUGAGGCGUGACGACGAGGCACUACGGUGCUGAAGCAACAAAUGCCCUGCUUCCAGGAAAAGCCUCUAAGCAUCAGGUAACAUCAAAUCGUACCCCAAACCGACACAGGUGGUCAGGUAGAGAAUACCAAGGCGCUUGAGAGAACUCGGGUGAAGGAACUAGGCAAAAUGGUGCCGUAACUUCGGGAGAAGGCACGCUGACACGUAGGUGAAGUGAUUUACUCAUGGAGCUGAAGUCAGUCGAAGAUACCAGCUGGCUGCAACUGUUUAUUAAAAACACAGCACUGUGCAAACACGAAAGUGGACGUAUACGGUGUGACGCCUGCCCGGUGCCGGAAGGUUAAUUGAUGGGGUCAGCGCAAGCGAAGCUCCUGAUCGAAGCCCCGGUAAACGGCGGCCGUAACUAUAACGGUCCUAAGGUAGCGAAAUUCCUUGUCGGGUAAGUUCCGACCUGCACGAAUGGCGUAAUGAUGGCCAGGCUGUCUCCACCCGAGACUCAGUGAAAUUGAACUCGCUGUGAAGAUGCAGUGUACCCGCGGCAAGACGGAAAGACCCCGUGAACCUUUACUAUAGCUUGACACUGAACAUUGAGCCUUGAUGUGUAGGAUAGGUGGGAGGCUUUGAAGUGUGGACGCCAGUCUGCAUGGAGCCGACCUUGAAAUACCACCCUUUAAUGUUUGAUGUUCUAACGUGGACCCGUUACCCGGGUUGCGGACAGUGUCUGGUGGGUAGUUUGACUGGGGCGGUCUCCUCCUAAAGAGUAACGGAGGAGCACGAAGGUUGGCUAAUCCUGGUCGGACAUCAGGAGGUUAGUGCAAUGGCAUAAGCCAGCUUGACUGCGAGCGUGACGGCGCGAGCAGGUGCGAAAGCAGGUCAUAGUGAUCCGGUGGUUCUGAAUGGAAGGGCCAUCGCUCAACGGAUAAAAGGUACUCCGGGGAUAACAGGCUGAUACCGCCCAAGAGUUCAUAUCGACGGCGGUGUUUGGCACCUCGAUGUCGGCUCAUCACAUCCUGGGGCUGAAGUAGGUCCCAAGGGUAUGGCUGUUCGCCAUUUAAAGUGGUACGCGAGCUGGGUUUAGAACGUCGUGAGACAGUUCGGUCCCUAUCUGCCGUGGGCGCUGGAGAACUGAGGGGGGCUGCUCCUAGUACGAGAGGACCGGAGUGGACGCAUCACUGGUGUUCGGGUUGUCAUGCCAAUGGCACUGCCCGGUAGCUAAAUGCGGAAGAGAUAAGUGCUGAAAGCAUCUAAGCACGAAACUUGCCCCGAGAUGAGUUCUCCCUGAGACUUAAAGUCUCCUGAAGGAACGUUGAAGACGACGACGUUGAUAGGCCGGGUGUGUAAGCGCAGCGAUGCGUUGAGCUAACCGGUACUAAUGAACCGUGAGGCUUAACCUUACAACGCCGAAG